GACAGAGGGUGCAAACGUUGUUCGGAAUCACUGGGCGUAAAGGGCGCGUAGGCGGCCAUUCAAGUCGGGGGUGAAAGCCUGUGGCUCAACCUCAGAAUUGCCUCCGAUACUGGCAGUCUCGAGUGCGGGAGAGGUGAGUGGAAUUCCCAGUGUAGAGGUGAAAUUCGUAGAUAUUGGGAAGAACACCAGUGGCGAAGGCGGCUCACUGGCCCGUAACUGACGCUGAGGUGCGAAAGCGUGGGGAGCAAACAGGG
rnacentral:rRNA from 1 species